rnacentral:lncRNA from 1 species
CGCAAGACCACAUGCACAGAGUACACCAUAUCAAUGGAUUCUGGCAACACCUCAAGAUCGAGCAGAACCUACAUUGGAAAAAUAAGGUAAAUAUUAUGUUUAUGAAAGAUAUACUCUUUUGUGUUCAUUUUCUCGUUUUGACAGUUUAACAGCAAGCCUAGCGUUCCUAAUUUUCAGGUCGAACUUCCUUGGCACAAAAUUUUUAAUUUAUGAUACACAGCCCCCCUAUAAUGGGGCUGUAGUUCCUCCUGUUGGAAGGACCAGCAGGAGGUUCAACUCCACAAAAGUCUCUCCGAAGUUGCCUUCUGUUAGUUACAACAUCGCUCAGGUGUCAUAUGAGCUAAACGUCCUUGGCACAAGAGGUCCAAGGCGGAUGCGUUGCAGCAUGCACUCCAUACCCGCCUCAUCAGUAGAGCCAGGUGGCAUAGUACCUGGACAGCCAGAGCAGAUUGUACCUCGAGCUCUGGAGGACUCAUUCCGCAGCACAGCUUCCUUCUCGCAGUCAUUCCGUAGCACCACCUCAUUGUCCAAGUCAAUCAUGGACUCAUCCAUGGAUUUCAAUAGUGCUCGCUUCUCCGACAUAGCUGGCAGCGGCAGCAGUGCUCGCUUCUCAGGCAUUGGCAGCAGCGCUCGCAUCUCAGGCAUUGGCAGCAGCGCUCGCAUCUCGGGCAUUGCUAGUGGUAGAUUGGAUCAUGACGAGGACAGUGAAGUCAAGGAGAGGCCACUUGUGCUUCGUAAUAAGCCACCUAGGUGGCAUGAACAGCUGCAGUGCUGGUGCCUCAACUUCCGUGGCCGUGUGACAAUCGCCUCGGUGAAGAACUUCCAGCUGAUUGCGGCAACAACCCCACCACCUGCAGGAGCUCCAACUCCCUCGCAGCCUGCUCCGUCAGAUCCUGACAAGGUGAUUCUACAGUUCGGAAAAGUGGCAAGGGAUAUGUUCACGAUGGACUAUCGCUACCCUCUCUCGGCUUUCCAGGCGUUUGCUAUUUGUCUGAGCAGCUUU